AAUGGGCUGGCGAGCAGUGCGAGUGACAUCCUCCCCGCCCAAUCGUUGUGCGGGAAGGGCGGGGCAAGAGUCAAAAUGUCGUUGCAGACGGCAGGAGUGUGGCGUUGUCGCUGCCUGGCAUCACGGAGCGGCAGUGGCCGCGGUCCUUGUCAUUGCAGCGUGUGCCCGUCUCCUCCAUUGGGCAGAGGAAGGAGGCACGCUGGUGAAGCCUCCCCUCCCACCUCGUUUCCAGCGCCGCCUCCAAGAGCCGCGGCUCGAUGGGCGGGCUUCUGCGCUGUUACAGUGUGACGAGCACAUCUCUUCGCCAAUGGAGGCCGCGCUCCGCAGUUUUUUGGCGCUCGUUGUUCCCCGGGCGGAGCCGCCCCCGGCACUGAGGAGAAGGGGGCUCAGCGCGGCGGUGCUUCAGCGGAGGGGUUUCGUUUUUGCACUGAAUGUAGCCAGGACGGAUCCUUGUGGGCUUUGGCAGCCCUUGGAAACUGUCAAAGGCAGUAUUUUGCAUUUCUGCAGAGCUUUGCACAGAUCCUGUUCCCAUGCAAACUGAUGAGGGAGAAAUACUGGAGGAAGGCAGUCCCAAGAUGGAACAUGAGGAUUUUGUAAUGGAGGGGCAUGGCAAGACUCCACCUCCUGGUGAAGAAAACAAACAGUGAGUCACACGUUUAUUUAAAAAGGGCCUUACCAUCAUAGUAAAUGGUGUGAAGCACUCUUGUUUAAAUGUGCUUGGUUGGUUGUUUGGUGCUCGCCCUUUUGGUUCUUCAAAUACCCAUAUUUAAUAGUGGAUAGUGGCUGGAAAAAAAAGAUCAGGAUAUUGACUUGCCUUAAAUUUAAAAGCAUUAGAAAUAUGCUUUGCGAUUUCAGAAGGUAAAUCAGAAUUUGCUUUGAAAGAGAAUCAUUCUGGAAGCUUAGCGCUCAGGUAGUAAAUUCCACUUCUUGUUUUUAAAGUGAAAAUGUGUACAUUCAACAUUUAUGUAUUUCUUCUUCAGGGAAGUAACUUGGAAUAUGCUAGAACCAGGGCCUUUCUCUUGUUGUGCAAAUGGUAGAUUGAUUGUCUUUGAAAUACAAGCCUUAAUUCAUUAAAAUGUACUUUAUUAAAGGAACGGAAAUGGUAAACAAAAUGCUUUCUCAAGGAUGAACAAUUUAAGAUCCUAGUACUUAGCAGUUUAAGGAAAAAAGCUUGGCGGGAGGGAAAAAUGACAGAUUUCUAUUAGCAAAACGCAUGGAGAAAACGGUGUUUCCAAUGACUUCAGACUGAAAUCCAGUAGCAGAAGAGCGGAGCUUUGUCCUAAAUGUGUAUUGCAGUAAUGGCUGUAUUCUAUAUUCUUUCCUUUGGCUAAUACAAUGGUAAUUUAAUGUUGGUAUCACAAUUGAAUGUUUUCCCUGACAUACCUUUUGGAACAAGCGAGAAGAUUAUCUUUAGGAAAACCACAGCACAAAUCUUUAAUCAACACCCCCUCUCCCUGUGUGCCCAGUCGGAUGUCACCUUGUGAACAGGAAUUCUGUUGUCUCUUUAAUAAGCUGUACACCUGUUGCAGAAAGGUUGGGAUUUGACUCAAGUUGAAGGUCUUCCUUACCUUUCAGAUCAGCUAGCGACUGUAAGUUAACUGCCUCUGCAACAGUGAGAAAAUCUUUCUGAGGUAGCCAAGAUGAGCUUGGGGAAGUUCUAGUGCUGAGCAGGCACAUUCUUUCCAUCAUGGAAGUGAGCCAAACUUCUCAAAGUAAUUGCUGCUAUUUCUUUCUAUUCAGACUGCCCAACUUGCUGUGGUACCAAGAGAUACAAAGCUUACUGAAGUAGAAAAGUAGAAACUUUCAGAAAGUUCCAGAAGGAGAUCAGUGCAGGAAUAAAAUUUAAAGAGCAGGAGUUACAUUUCUGCUCUUCUGAAUUAUUUAUUUCGUUAUACAAUAGUACGUGUUGUUGUAGUGAAUAUAUGAGAGAUGUUGUAUUGGAUUUAUCGUAGUCUUUUGUUUGCUGUCUUAUUUUAGGUGCAAGUGGAAGCUAUGGUUAUUUUACAGUUGACCUGAUUUCUAAUUAGAGCUUUUCCGAGUGCCUUACGAUCUCUGUUCUCCAACACUAUAGUUACUGGAGAGUUUGAGAUUAGUGAUAGGCAGGAGUGAUUUUUUUUUUCUAACUAAUAAAUUUAUGUUUUGUGUACCAAAUUAUAAUUUGAUAGAAGUCUUAAAGUACAGUUUCAGUAAUAUAGCUAAGAGAUGAAAAUAAUUUUAUGUAGUUGUAGUAUAAUGCUAGGAGUAUUAUGUUGUGGGUAUUGCUCUUUAAAUCAGUCACUUGAAUCUUUUUCUACCCACAAUCUCAAAUUUUCGUCUAUCUAACAAAAUUGCCUGCCAAGAUGGAGCUUAACUCUUGUAAGUGACAUUGAUCUGGCAUCCAGGAUACAUGGAUGAUUGUCACACUGAAGUCCAGUAAUUUAUAUCUUUAAUUUACUCCAAAAAGACUUUGUUGUCUUCAGAGCUUCUUGAACAGAUCUCAAAAGGAGAAGAGGAAAAAAAGCAUUUAAAAAUUACUUCCAUUAAGUAUUAGUUAGGCAUCCUGCAGUGGGUUUAUAAAGGGCCACAGAGGGCCUAGAGCAUCUGAAAAUGAGGAAGAGCUGAGAGCUGGUACUAAUUAAUGCAGUGAUUAGAAGGUUUAGAGUCAGGCGAACUGAUCUGUGUGUAUAGAUUGAUACGUGAUGGGAUUGCAGCCAUUUCUCUAUGCUGCCCAGUGAGGCGAGAAGCAGUGAACACAACCUGAAAUACAGAAAAUUGCACUCAAAAUUAAGAGAGAAAGGAGGAAAAAAAAAAAAAAAUCCCCAAAACUAUGGGGGUGGUCAAGCAAUGGAACAGGCUGCCCAGAGAAGUUGUGUUGCAAGAUACUUGAAACCCAGCUGGAUGCAACCGUAAGCAACCUGCUGUAGUUAGCCCUACUUUGAGCAAAGGUGGGAUUAAUCAUCUCCAGAGAUCCCUUCCAUCCUAAAUGUUUCUGUAGAUCUCUGUGUAUGUAUAUUCAGUCGUGUCUUGAAUUAAAAUCAGAGCUUAUUAGUGAGAAGAAGUAGAUUGUAAGUUUGAAUGCAGAGUCAGAUGUUUGCUACAGAUGUAGAUGCACUAGAUGAAGACUAACCUUCCCCUUUCCAGCUGUUCAUCAGACUUCAUAGUUUACUCCCUCUACAGCUGUGCAGAUGGAAUUUUAUUUUUUUUUGAGCACUUCUAAUUUGCAUUCCUGAAAAGCUGACCACGCUAAUUGAAUUGCCUUUCAUCUGGGUAACUCUACUGACAUUAUAUUCAGAAGAUACAGUUUCAGCAAUUGACCUGUGAGGGAAUUAACUUGCAUCAGAAUGCUGGAGGAGUCAGCAAGUGUUAACCUUAGGCAAACCCAGAUUUUUUUUUAUUUUUAUUUUUUUUACUAUUUAACUGCAUUCCAAUGGAUUCAAAUAAGAUUUGAAUUGGCAAUGAAAAAAACAGAAAUAAAAGACACUUCUGAGAAACGUUCAGUGCAAGCAGUAGUUUUCAGCUAGCUGCGGUUUAGUGUGAAAUUUCCUUUGCAAAAUUACAGCUGUAUAGUGGGCUACAAGGAGCUGACAUCUAUGGGUGAGUUCAAGCACUUUAUUUCUAAAAUGCAGCAGGCUAUUUCAGCUCAGUUUGACUCAGGGAUAAAACCUUGACAUUGCAAGAGUACCUUCUAGUAUUUAAAAAAAAGAAAGGUGUAAUCUCACUAUUUGCUGUAUUGAGGGUUCUUUUAUUUGCUGUAUUGAAGAUCUAAACAGCAAAAUGACACUAUUUCACAGAGCAAAUUCCCAGCUACAAAACUCUAUUUUUCAAUAUUAUUAUUAUUAUAUUCUUCAACGUACCACCUUUAGCUAUGCAUUUUUGCCAGCAAUGAACAAGAGCCUGUAUGCCCCGUUCAUAAAAAUCUGCACCAGCAGAGGUGAUCCACUGUUUCACAGCUGCUAUGACAGCGUAAUUGCUGUUUCCCAUGCAGUCCACCUUUCCUUGGCCUGAAUAGAUGGAAGUCAGAAGACACCAAAUCCAGAUUAUAUGGUGGAUAUGGUAGGAUGGUCCAGCCAAGGUUGGCAGUGUGCUCCACAGUCUUCAAACUGGUAUGGGGCCUGGUGUUGUCGUCUUCUUUGGCCCGAUUCUGCAAGUUUGAGCUUUUUCCUUAGUCAGUGUCAUGAUGUAGUGGUCAGAGUUUAUGGUUUGUCUGAGUUCCGGGAAAUUCAGAAGGACCACCCCUUUCCUAUCCUAAGAGAAAGUGCACAUCACUUUACCCUCUGAGGACCUCAUCUUGAACUUAUUCUUCUAUGGGGAGUUGAUAUCGCCACUCCAUGGACUGCUGUUUGACUCCUGCUCGUAGUGGUGACACCACAUCUUGUCACCAGUAAUGAUGUUCUCCGGGAAGCUGUGACCUUCAGCGUCCUAUUGGUUCAGCAGGUCCUGAGAAGCUUGCAUACAAUGUCCCUUCUGUUCCCGUAUGAGCAUUUGUGAGACCUUCAUGGUGUAAAUAUUGCCAUAUUUGAAUGUUACCACCACCGUUCCCAGCACAUUGAAGCCAAUUUUCAGCGCUAUACGCAGUUCUCUGGUAAUAAUCCACUGAUCUGCGUGGAUGAGCUGAUCAAGAGGCUCUUAAUUUCAUGGAGUAACAGCUGUUGACAGGUAUCACAUGGCUGCCAUCACUGCUGAAAUGCAUCGCCCUCUGCCUAACUGUGCUCACGUUCACUGUUUGGUCUCCACCAACAUUCAGCAAGUGUCAGUGAAUAUCGGUGGGUGCCAUUUUUUCCACAUAGAGGAAUUCAGUGGCACUCCUUUGCUUCAUCCGCACUUCCAUGUCAGACACCAUUUUGUCCAACUGUACCUCUGCUGUCCUCUGUCACAUGGCAGCAAAAUGUAAUGAAAUAUUUGUGAGAAGGCCGCAUCACCAACAUCCAUUUCUGAUGUCAUGGGCCAACAUAAUGAAAUAGGAGGCAUUACUUUUGGAGCAGCCCUCACAGAUUGUAUACAGGGGUUUUGGACUAGUCAUUUACAACAUGAGUAUAGCUCGUUUAGAUUGGAACCAACUAUUCUGUAAAGCUAUUCAUUCAAAAUCCUUAGUACGAGUGAAAUACGGAACAGGCGUACCCAUCUCCAGUCCUGAGAAAGGUGUGCAGUUUCUGCUCAGUGCCAGUGUCUUACGACUGUGGCUGUGCAGCAGUGAGGGCUGCUGCUCAUGCUGAAGUCCGCACUUUCAUGAGUGUACAUGGGCUGCUGAGACUGGAAACGGCUACCUUGAACCAUGCUUCUCCUCAAGCCAGAGGAGCUAUCCACUUCUCAAGAAAUUUUUUGACAGUGCCAGCGAAAACAACAUUUUUAGGAUCAUACUAGGACUUUCAACACAACCUACAAAUCCUAAUUCAGAUUAUCAACCCGAUUUUGUGUACAUAAUUUAUGUGUCACCUCAACUUCUUUUGGAUUUCGUGGCAAACAGUGUCCUUCCUUGGAAGAAACAUCAACAGUUAUGUUAAAAAGUAAAGCUCAUAGCUGAUUUUUCUGAGUGUAGACUAAGCAUAUUAGAUAAAUGCAGCCUAAACCUGUGCACCUCCCACCCCCUCCAAAACAACAACAUCCUUUGACAUCCUAACAGGCCACUGCAGAGAUGUGAGCUAUGUACGUAGCAGCCAAACAGGCUACUGCAGUUCUCUCAACAUGCUUCAGUUCUAGUCACAAUUCAGACUAGCUCUUGUAUUGGCAUCCUAGUAGGAGACUUCUGACUUUGACUUUUUUAAUGUUUAUUUUACUUCACUCAAAAUUGAAAAGGAUAUGGGAGGACAGGAGACCGUGAAACUAAAGCUCGAGCUGAAAAUUGAAUAGUCUGUCCAACUGAAAUUCAGGAAUACUUUCAUCAGCUUCACAUUGUAGAAGUCUUUUUUUACUCCCUGCGAUGGAGUGGCAGGACAAGUUUGCAUCUCUACCUGUGUGUGUCAGGGGAGAGCCUGAGGCACGGAAAAACAUUGCCCUUUGUUGUGCAACUGAGUGGGCAGCAAUGGAUGAGACAGCAGUGAGUUCUGGAGCUGUAGAGCAGCUAUGUUUUAGCCCUAAGACUGGUAAGUCAAUAAUGUUGAAAAAGCUGGCUUGCACUACUUAAGAUACGGUACUUCUAAACAGUGUGACAAGAAAAAAUAUGCAGAAUUUAUAUACUGAAGUAUUUUAAGUGCCAAGGGAUUCAUCAGUUCUGUUCCAUUUUAUUAGUUUAAGGUUCUGGUUAUUUUUUUCAUCUUUUUGUGCCUAAAAUUAGAGGUAUUUAUCCCCAGGAAAACUCUAGUCUGAAUAUUCUAUGCAAAUAUCAUUUAAAUUAGGUAUUCACUUCUGCAAGCUAGUCUUAAAAAUGUUUGAAAAUGUUUUCAAUUGUCAUUUAACGUUUCUAAGAUACCGUGUUUCACCUACUCGCUCAUUUUUCUUUCAAAUCUAAUAUUACGAGGUAGCAAAACAUUUAGUACAGCGUGUCUUAUUUUGUCAUGAAGAGAUACCAGCUUUCCAUGUACCUCAUCUAUAACCUCUGCCAUUAGUGUAGUGUCAUUUUGCGAGCAUUUUCUAAAUACGUGGAAAAUUGAAAACAAGAUGACUGAGGAAAAAGAAACAAUUGAGAUCACACAGAAAAAUGUUAAAUCUGAAGGUAAAGUUUCCACUCACUGUUCACUUGUGUUUAUCUUGCACCGCUGCUAACAUUGAGAGCGGAAAAGAUUUGUGGACAGUAUGCAUUCUACAUUUGAACAGUAUGAUGCUUCUUUUCCCUGGGAUUUCAUAGCGCUUUCUUCCAGAUGUCUUCUGGUAAGAACAGCCUAAGUUUGUUGUUUUUUCCAAGAUCUGUAUUUGUCUUGCGUAGGAAGUGCACAAAACCUGCUUCUGAACUUGCAGUCUUGUCUGACCAAGAGACUUUUUUCGUAUGUGUAGUCUUUCCAAAACAAGAAAAAAGUGCAUUUUUGUUGCCAUUUGCUGAUUUACAAAUACGGUAUCGCAGAUUUCCCAGAGUCGGUAUCACCUUGACACUAAUGACACUAUCGAUUUCUCUAAUCGUUUAGUUGCAGUUGUAAUUUCUAGCAAAAAGGAGGGGAGUUGUAUUCUGAUUUACCACCGUCUUAAACAGCUGAUUGUACUUUGAAGCAGCGAGCAUUUGUAUCCUGACCAAAUUCCGAAAAUCCCAGAGGCUCUUUAUUCAGACAUCACCUCCACCCCCUGCUCUCUAGUCCUCUUUAAGGACUACCUACGGGACACUCCAUUAACAUCAAGUUCAUUGUUCAAGCGGUCUUUCUGGUUUGGUUGCUGAGUGGCUGUUGCCCCUCCCUCUCCUAAGCAGACACUUCUCAGAAGCUGCCCGAGGUAACUGCCUUCUGAUGCAUCAUUUAUAUGGAUGGCUGGAAAUUGCUCUCUUUUCAGCUGUACAUUGCUGCUGAGAUAGAAACUGAUGGGUGGCAUCUUACACAAGAGCGAGAUAAGUUGCUUCCAGGUUGAUCUGUGAUCCUUCUUUGUUUCAAUCUUUAGCUAAAACAUGUGUUUCAAGAGGUUUGACUUCUUUUUUCUUGUUUUUAUACCGCCCUUCUCCAACAACUACUUGUGAUGCGCAAACUUAAAAUUUAUUAUGUCUGUAUUAAAUGUUACAUGAAAAGACAGAUCCAAAAAUAAUUGCCAAAUACUCCAUUUGUGAUUUCUCUCCUACCUUUAGAUGGAAGACCACUUACUAUAAAGUAGCUUGCUUGAGAUGGGCAGGAAGAAUGGGCUAAAGAGACUUGAGGACAAUUUGAUUUCUUGCUCAUUCUCCCUACUACUGUUCCUCUUAGUAUAACUUUCAUACAGAGUAAUAAGAAUAAAACAUUUAGUAGUGUCCUGUAAGUGUUCAGACAAGGAAAUCCCUGGAAAGUGUGCUUAGAAGUUCAUUAAACAAAACUAGUAUUUUCCAUUGAUAAAUUGAACAUAUUAUUUCUGGUUACUAUAUAUAAACGUAUGUUUUAACACUUUUUGAAAGAGAAGAUGUUGUCUUCCAUAUUAUGUUUAUAAAAUCGAAGGGGGGGGAAGGAAUGGUGUUUUUCAAUUCCCUGUUGAUGCAUUGAUUUUUUUGAAUAGUUUGUUGUUGAACUGAACUACAUGGAAGUAAAAAGGCAAAAGUCUUUCUGCUUGUAGAGGUAUUUACUGCUGGGGAAAAAGUGGCUUAGUACAUAAACAAGCACUGGUUUUAGCUAGAAAGUUAGUGAUCAGUUGCUUGGCUUGACAUUUUCAAAUCGGCAGUAAAGAUGUAAAACGUGAAUGUAACUUCAUAUGAUUGUAUUUGGAUUUAUUAGUGAUGAAGCUUAUUGGAAAUGGUCCUGGUUUAAAAAAAAAAGUUGAAAUAAUUAUUCUUUUCAGUAGGAUGCAUGUUCAUAAAAUAAAAGUUGGAGUAAUUUUGUGUUCAUUCUUUAAAAUUUAGUGUAACCUGCUGCAAAUGCUGAAUACACAAAUAAUAGCAGUAGACUUAAAGAUCGGCAAGGAAAAUUAUUUAAGUGUCAAGAAUAAUUCUGAGCUCUGUCUCUAUAUUUGCUAUAUUACUAGCAUAAUAGCUGUUUAUUACUAGUGUAAUUGUGUAGUUGAGAAAAAAUAUAUGGUAGCUACACUAAGCUGGUGCCACUCAGUUUUAGUAAGGAUUCACAUCCUGGCCUCUUAGGACAAGCCAUUGGCAUCAUAAAUGUUUGUGAAUUACAGUCCUAAGACAUACUUUCAGAGUGUGAAAUGUGAGAGGAUUUCUUUCACAUUCUCUCCAAAGAAUAAAUACAUUCAUCAGAUCAUCUGUAUUCUUUGUAUGCAUACCCAGAUGAAUGACUGAAUAUUUAUUUCAAGCAUAUGGAGAGAAGGAAAAGAGGCUAAUGGGUCUACCUUACAUUAGAAUUUUGUUUUCUCCUGUUGUUUCCUGUGUUCAGUAAAUAGAAAUUUUGGUGACUGUCCACUGUACCUUAUAGAUGCCAUAAAUGAUAAAUAGGGUAAAAAGAUAUAAAUGAUCUUUGCAUGAACAUGGUUGCAAUUUGGUGAACCUAUCCAGGCCCUUCAGGGAGUGACCAUCCACUAUUGUAAAAUACAGUGAUCCUCAUAGAAGUAAAGUUGAUGUAGAAAAUAGAACUCACUGUACAACUAAAAGUACUACUCCCUACGGUCAAGAUGGUAUGAACUGAAAACUUGUUUACAGAGGUGUUUUGGAACUCCUCAACUGCAUUGCACCUCUGUCAUGCUGUGCUCUGGUGAGCUGGUACAGUUUCUCUUAGUCUUACCUUGAUAGAUUUGCUGAACUUUUUGCACUUAAUCAACACAGUCAUGGUUAGGGGUCAUACUAGUUUGCGUUAGGUUGGUGCGUGCAUCUGAGUAUUUGACAGCACUACAGCUUGUCGAAUUUUCUUCAUGGGUAGCUAGCUGUUAGUUCUGACAUUUCAAACCAGAGGGCUGUACAUGAAGGCAAAUUACUCAGGAAAGAUAGUCAGCUUACUUGGAAAGAUCAGUUUACAGAUUUUUACUGAAAUAAAUAAUUCUUUUCACUAGAAAGAUGAGUCAGAUUGAGGAAAGCUUUUCCUACGGUAAUCCUCUGAGUAUGCAUUCGUUUUGAAUUAUUAUGAAUAUUUUAAAAAAUAUAUUCUUAUCGUAUUGUGGUUCCUUUAAUGCGAACAAAGGAAAAUGGGUUGGUGCCAGUUCGAACCAAGAUGCCAGAAAUUCCUUUGCUCAGAGGUUUCCGGGCCAGUGACUGAACUCCCCACACAAAAACUCAAAACAAGUUAGAACAAUUCGUGGAGAAGUACUGAUCUGUCUCACCAUAAACAAAAAAGGAUCUACAAAAAUCGAAGUGCAACACACCUUCCUUUUGGGUAUAGAAAGAAAAAAAGAGGCAGAAGAUCUAGAAUAAGACUAAUGCUUUCAUUCCAGAAGUCUUUUGUGACAUCCCGCAAAUAUUUGUGAGAAAUCUGCUUUGCGCAGACGGACUAAACUGAAGUGAAUAGGAUAUAUUGAAUUUCAGUAGAGAAUAUGUCUAAAGGAUCCAUAGAAGGAGAAAGUCCUGCUGUGGUAAAGUGUUUAUAGACAUGAAAGUUAGUUUUUUCAUUAAACGUUCUAACCUUAAUGCUUGCUGCUAUUACGUUUAAAGCUUCUGGCCUUAAACAGUGGGGAGGGAAGCAUUUAACCAGUGAGUUUAUUGCUUCUUUUGAGAUGCACAGUAACAGCUAUUGUUGAUGGAAGGUCAGUUGAAUCAAUCCUCUAACUGGCACGGUAAUUCCCAUGUUGUAAACAACAAUUAGAAAGCAACAGCUUGCUGUGUAUAUGGGUAGAGUGAUAGUCUGUACUAUUUCCCUAAACAUCUGUUCAUACUGAAAAAAAAAAAGUAUCAUCUUUUCACUAGCAUAGAUAGAAUUGGAGAAAACUGAUAAACUUCUAAUGUUUCACAGAUAUCUUGACAGUUUGUACAAUUCCAGAAACCCAUUAGGAGUGAAUUACAAUCUCCAAAAGCGAGGAGCUGCUGAGAUGAAAGUACAGGAGGAGGUUAAUGAAUUGCUGAAGUCUCAGAAUACUCAUCUGUGCAGAUUUCCUUGCCCUUUGUGUUAGUGAAGAGCGCUCUCAUCAUUAGCAAGGAUAUGAGUAUAAGUGAUUUCUGAAACUUCCAAAAAGACUCAGUUGGCGUUUGGAGGAGACUUGACUGAAGAAUCUGGGGGUUUGUUGUUUUGUUUCCUAUCGUUAAGUCUCAUGUGAUUUGCAGUUUGCUUUCUGUGUAUGUAGCUUUCCAAGUAAGUUUGGAGUCUCUUGUCUAGUUUUGCUCAAGGGAGCAGGAGGAGUAAGAAACGACAAUAUAUUUACAAUUAUCAGUGUGUUAAACAUUGAUGAUUGCCAAGAAAAGAGAUGGAAGUUAAUUUCCUACGAAAAGAAGGGCUUCAGAGCAAAGCAAAAGAUUAUAUUUUCUGGCUAUGUCUGUUGAUAGCUCAUCAUCAUACGUGUUUUGAGGCUAACUGCAGCAGGUGCUAUCUUUUGCCUGGGUUGGGGGUGCUGCAGGAGCUGCAAAACAAUUAUGGGAAGAGUCUGCAUAGGACUCAUGUGCUAGAGGGGCCUUGGCAUCAAAGGAGAACUGGAUGUGCAGGAAGCUGGGAUUAGCGUGGUAGAGAUUCAGCGAUGUGUGACAGAGACUGGUAGGAAAUGAGUUUUUACUUCCAUUGUUCAUGGAACAACUUUGUUAAAAGGAAGAUAGAAGGCUUUAUCCUUCCCCACUUCGGAAAGGGCAUUUGAGGAGAUUGAACAAGUGGAGGCAUAGCGAUAGAUUAUUCAUAGGCUGGACAGCAAGGGAAAGUAUUGUGGCAGAUUAAGGAAAAAUUAGGUGGAAAAGUGGGUGUUUGCAAAAUCCUCUGAAUGAAGUUUUCCUUCUAAGUUAUCCUUCUGUGAACGCUUCAUUAACGUAUAGAUUCAAAACUUUGUCUUGGCCUUGAAGUAAUGAAUAGUUCUUAAUGUGCUGCCAACUUUUUGGGUCCUUCACUCUUCUUUUGUCCCUGGUAAGAAAAGAGUUCAGACUUACACUGUGGUUCCAAACCACCGUUGCAAUAUACAUUCUGCAUACUAAAGUUGGAUACUGCAUUCCUAAAAUGUGUUGACAAGUGUCUUUGUGUAUGGGAUGCAACAAGCAGUUGUAACCUUUUCAGAAACUGUGCAAGCUUUUCCUGCAUUGGUCACUUUUAGUCAUGGUAUUUUUCUGCAUAGAAAGAAGCUGCACUAUACUUUGGCUACUGUAGUUUAAAAAAAGAGAAAUAAAAUACCAGCCAACUCUGUUUUCACAAUUCUGCAGCAUCAAAUAUCUCACUGCUCCCUAAAGCUGAAGGAGGAGAAGAAUACAUAGUUUUCCUUAGGAAUGAGUAUUUUGUCCUUGAAGAAUGCUCGGCCACUUCAAAGUCUGAACUCCUACAGAGGGGGGGGCAUCUCUUGAACAAUGGCUUGUGUGCAAUUGCUUUGAAGACUUCAGAAAAAAAAAAAAAAAGCUGA